GCAUUGAAAUCACUGUAGAACACAUAGAUUUGGUGUGAGAUGGCUUCAUUAUGAACGAGUUCCCGUUUAUCGUGUCAAAGUCAAGCCAUUGUGCAGCCAGGUACGGAUGGGCCAACUGCUGAUCCAUGGUGGAGAAGGUGGAGAAGAGCGAUGGAGUUAUCAGCGAAAUCAGAGCUGCCUCGGUGGAUGGAGCUGAAUUCCUGAGGAAAAGCUCAACUCAGCUAUGAACGGAUCUUGUUCCUCCUUAUCAGGGGAUCCCCGAGGAGAACGCUGGGCGUGUCCUCCUUUGGUCCAGCCUGGGUUGCAGCUUCGAUGCUCCCUCUGCGCAGGGCGGAAGGUACCUGCAGACUGCCCAUCUGUACCCCUGGGAUUUAGGGGACACCUGAUGAAGUAUUUGCGUUUAAUCAUCAUCUUGAUGCGGACGCUUUUAGGAGCAAUGACUGAGACUGGGAGGGAUUAUAAAUAAACACUCAAAUGACAGGAAA
rnacentral:lncRNA from 1 species